rnacentral:tRNA from 1 species
GGGCGCCAUAGCCAAGUGGUAAGGCGUGGGACUGCAACUCCCUGAUCAUCGGUUCAAAUCCGAUUGGCGCCUCCAA